GAGGCCCAGGCUUCUAAAGGACACCAACAGGUGGGAGGCCUCCGUAGAGGGGGGCGCGUCCGUUGGAUAGAUAAGACAGGGCGGCGAGGCCUAAUCUGGACACAAUCCACCGGCUCGACAUGGAGGAGGAUGGUACAUCGGAGAGAAAGAAGAGAGGAAAGGUUCAGAAACUACUGAGGGAAGGUUGAGGCAAUAGAAAUGGAUGACAGCGGUUGGCUGUGUAGCAUGAGGGAGAAGAUGAGGGAGUAGUUGAGUGAGGGAAGUUAGCAGACAGGAGUGAAGUUAGAGUGUCUUCAGGUUUUUACCUCAGUUUUAUUUAGUAUAGGCACUCUUACAGAGAUAUGUACUGUGUUCGUAUUGAGUGUAUUUUUCUUCACAGCUUCACAGCUUUUUAGGUUUUCUUUGUUGUUGUGAAUACUCUCUGUUUGACAUUGAUUUGGUUUCCUUCCAGUAUACAUUUGGGCUACCACUGGCACUAGGUCUUUAAUUCAGACAUCUGUUAAAGUAUAUCUGUUCCAUGGGAUUCUAUCCAGUAUUGUUGUAUCUUGGCUUCUGGUGAUCUAAUCCCUUGAUGUGUACUGUGUUUUGUGGGAGCAGGCGUUAGAAGAGUUGUUGGAUCUGUCUCUGGUUUACGAGGGAUACAACCCUCUCUGUCAGGACAGUACAGGAGGUAACACCUCUUACAGGUGAGGCCCAGUGUUGGGGGGUUCCUUUGGGGAGAACUCUGAGGCUAAUUUGGGAACUCAAAGGUGUUCUUCCUACCUUUGAAUUAAAUCUUUGAUCUUCACGUAACCAAGUGUGCUUGUUGAAGUUUCGUAGAAGUGGUGUUUUUUCUCUGUGGAAUUUGUGCAGGGAGUGACAAAUGUGAACGAUGACAGUUUAGGACUCAUUUUAAAAUAGAGCAAGUCAGGAAGAGGUUGGAAUGAUGUUCAGGCUUACUCUAUAACUCCAGUCAGUGUGUGGAGAUGAUUCCAGGGACACUCACAACGGAAUCACAACUAAGGUAGGCUAAGAGAAACAAGAGGACGUGAUGUCAUGUCUGACCAAUGAUGACUCUACACACAACUACCUUUAUGUCUCUCUUUCUUUGUCUAUUUCUCUCUCUCUCUCUGUCUGUCUCUGUUUCUCACUCAGUUCAUCCCUUUCUUUUACUAUUCUAUCUACUACUCAACGGCUUCUCUCUACCUUUUUCUUUCUUUCUUUCUUUCUCUCUCUUCUUUUUCUCUCUUUCUCGUACUCCCUCUCGUCCUGAAGCAACACGUCUUGCUGUCGCUGGUCAAAUGGAACCAAGUCAGGUGUUUCUGUGAGGUUUGGUCCCCUUCAACCAGCUACUGCGUCGUGAUUUCAGUCAGCAGCCAUUGGAGGGAACGAAAGAGUGCCGUAGCUCUGUCUCUGCAUGCUGGUGUGACAUAAUUCCUGUUAUUGUCUUUUCAAAUAUUUCUGUUAUAAUUUUUAUGUUGUACCUGUAAAAUAAAGAAUGAUUGACUUGUUGGAUGUUUUGAAUUAGCUUAAAUUUGUCUCUGAAUAAAAUAAUCAAAUCAUGAAAA